rnacentral:rRNA from 1 species
UACGGAGGAUGCGAGCGUUAUCCGGAUUUAUUGGGUUUAAAGGGUGCGUAGGCGGGAUGCCAAGUCAGCGGUAAAAAUGCGGGGCUCAACCUCGUCGAGCCGUUGAAACUGGGUGUCUUGAGUGGGCGAGAAGUACGCGGAAUGCGUGGUGUAGCGGUGAAAUGCAUAGAUAUCACGCAGAACUCCGAUUGCGAAGGCAGCGUACCGGCGCCCAACUGACGCUGAAGCACGAAGGCGUGGGUAUCGAACAGG